GGCUCCCUGGAGCUCGGUUGGAACAGCCUGGUUUAACUGUUACAUCCAUACAACGGCAUUCUCAAAAAUGACUCCUCAGCACGAAAACAUUGUAUUUCAUUGUGUGAAAUCAUCAACGCUGCAGAGCUCUUCAUAGAACUCUAUAGGCACUCUAAAGUGCAGAGAGGUUGUGGCUGUUUGUUCAUAACAAAGUAUGUCACUCCAGGUCUAUUUGUUUAAUGUUUCGAGGCACCGGCAGACGCUAUACCCAGACAGUUUUAUUGCAACGGAUCCCUGAUGAUGCAGAGGAGCAGCAACUGUUCACAGAGUUUGAAUUCACAUUGUCUGCACUGCCGCAGCACGCCUCAAUCGGCCCACCUGAUAUUUUGCUUCAGGAAUGCAGCCAUUCGAGUUUCCGGCGUCUGCAUUGCUGCUGCAGCAGCCCUACGUGAUUUAUCGUAUCAGUAGCAGGACAUACAAGAAAUUUUCUUCCCAGACUUUGAGUUUCCACUAUAACCAUCAUCAGCAGCGCUCAUCAGAUGGUUACAAGGGGUUACCUUAUAUAUUAAUGUGAUGCUAUUCUCUAUAAUAUACAAUCUAAACGGUAAGGGCAGUAAAUGUGUGGUUGUGGGAAACCUCUUUAAUGGCGAGUUCAGUACAGUGGUAGCGUUUGAAAAAUCAUCAAUUUAGUGGCAUGAAACUAGAGUUUUAAUCAUAUGAAUCGUACAAACUAUGUCACAAUUCUGCGAAGAUAACUGUACUGUACAACGCUGAAACGGCUCCAGUGUUACUGGGCUGCAAUGCAGUACGUUUUGAGAACCACCCAAGAACAAUUAAAACAUACAGCAAUGAGAAUACCGCACAGUGCCCUCACCAUCAGGAAUCAAUGUUUAGAAAAUUGAUGUAUGCUAGCUCGCCAUCCAGUGUACUGUGAAUGACUGUCUAAAUCAGUAUGAGCAAGUGUACGGAUUUCUUGAAAAUGUAUGCUACACAUUUACAAAGUUAACACAUCAGAACAUUUCAGAGAACAUUUUCGCAAGUAAUUUUGAUGUGUCUUGUGCUUCUGCACGCUGCAUCUAUGAUGCAACAGCAGUACUGACGUUGCUAAAGAGAUACAUGUAUAUUUGUACUUAUCUGCACACCUUACAAUGUUAGCUCAAAUUAAGAACGAAAAUAAAUGAUUGUUUACCUCUCAAAACUGUUUCUUUUCAACAAGAAUGAAAGGUAGAGAUCCAUAGCAGGUAAAGAUGCACAAUCGUUGUAGCUCAGUC